CUAACAGUUUUAAAUCAGCUUUGAGAACCAAAGCAAAGUUAGAAAAGCAAAACAGGAUCAUCGAAAGAGCGGCUAAAACGAUUGCAGAAAAAGAGAAGCGGGAUCGACUUGCACAAAAGGAAAAGGAACAAGCUGAGAGAAAUCAUUUAGCAGAGAGUCUUGAUGCUGAGAUCAAAAGGUGGUCUAAUGGCAAAGAAGGGAACUUGCGCGCAUUGCUUUCGACACUGCAGUAU